AGCGUAGGCGGACUUUUAAGUGGGAUGUGAAAUACUCGGGCUCAACCUGAGUGCUGCAUUCCAAACUGGAAGUCUAGAGUGCAGGAGGGGAAAGUGGAAUUCCUAGUGUAGCGGUGAAAUGCGUAGAUAUUAGGAAGAACACCGGUGGCGAAGGCGACUUUCUGGACUGUAACUGACGCUGAGGCUCGAAGGCGUGGGGAGCGAACA
rnacentral:rRNA from 1 species